GAGUUUGAUCCUGGCUCAGGACGAACGCUGGCGGCGUGCCUAACACAUGCAAGUCGAGGGCGAAAGCCUCCUUCGGGAGGCGAGUAGACCGGCGGAUGGGUGCGUAACACGUGAGCAACCUGCCUGAGAGAGGGGGAUAACCCGGGGAAACCCGGGCUAAUACCCCAUAACGUGGCAGCCACACCUGCGGAGGUCACCAAAGGGGGCGAUCCUUCGGGAGCUCUCACUGUCAGAUGGGCUCGCGGCCUAUCAGCUUGUUGGUGAGGUAACGGCUCACCAAGGCGAUGACGGGUAGCUGGUCUAAGCGGAUGAUCAGCCACAUGGGGACUGAGACACGGCCCCGACUCCUACGGGAGGCAGCAGUGGGGGAUUUUGGACAAUGGGCGAAAGCCUGAUCCAGCGACGCCGCGUGCGGGAGGAAGCCCUUCGGGGUGUAAACCGCUGUCAGGAGGGAAGAACCCGGUCCGGUGAAAUUCCCCGGACCGGUGACGGUACCUCCAGAGGAAGCGCCGGCUAACUCCGUGCCAGCAGCCGCGGUAAUACGGGGGGCGCAAGCGUUGUCCGGAAUCACUGGGCGUAAAGCGCGCGUAGGCGGCCAGGUCAGUCACCUGUGAAAUCCCGGAGCUCAACUCCGGGCCUGCAGGUGAUACUGCUUGGCUAGAGCAUGGUAGAGGCAAGUGGAAUUCCCGGUGUAGCGGUGGAAUGCGUAGAUAUCGGGAAGAACACCAGUGGCGAAGGCGGCUUGCUGGGCCAUUGCUGACGCUGAGGCGCGAAAGCGUGGGGAGCAAACAGGAUUAGAUACCCUGGUAGUCCACGCCGUAAACGAUGGGUACUAGGCGUCGGGGGGAGCGACCCCUUCGGUGCCGCCGCUAACGCAGUAAGUACCCCGCCUGGGAAGUACGGCCGCAAGGCUGAAACUCAAAGGAAUUGACGGGGGCCCGCACAAGCGGUGGAGCAUGUGGUUUAAUUCGAUGCAACGCGAAGAACCUUACCUGGGCUUGACAUGCAUGUGUUCGGCGAGAAAGCCGCCUUCCCUUCGGGGCUGAUGCACAGGUGCUGCAUGGCUGUUGUCAGCUCGUGUCGUGAGAUGUUGGGUUAAGUCCCGCAACGAGCGCAACCCUCGCCGUUAGUUACCAGCACGUGAUGGUGGGGACUCUAGCCGGACUGCCUACGCAAGUAGUGAGGAAGGUGGGGAUGACGUCAAGUCAUCAUGGCCCUUACGUCUGGGGCUGCACACGUGCUACAAUGGGCGGUCCAAUGGGAAGCGACCCCGCGAGGGGCAGCAGAUCCCCAAAACCGUUCCCAGUUCGGAUUGGAGUCUGCAACUCGACUCCACGAAGCCGGAAUCGCUAGUAAUCGCGUAUCAGCAACGGCGCGGUGAAUACGUUCCCGGGCCUUGUACACACCGCCCGUCAAGCGAUGGAAGCCGGGAGUACCUGACGAGGCCGGGCCAACCUUCGGGAGGCAGGUCUUCAGGGUAAGCCCUGUGACUGGCGCUAAGUCGUAACAAGGUAACCGUA
rnacentral:rRNA from 1 species